rnacentral:rRNA from 1 species
AACGAACGCUGGCGGCAUGCCUAACACAUGCAAGUCGAACGAGAUCUUCGGGUCUAGUGGCGCACGGGUGCGUAACGCGUGGGAAUCUGCCCUUUGGUUCGGAAUAACAGUUGGAAACGACUGCUAAUACCGGAUGAUGACGAAAGUCCAAAGAUUUAUCGCCGGAGGAUGAGCCCGCGUAGGAUUAGCUAGUUGGUGUGGUAAAGGCGCACCAAGGCGACGAUCCUUAGCUGGUCGGAGAGGAUGAUCAGCCACACUGGGACUGAGACACGGCCCAGACUCCUACGGGAGGCAGCAGUGGGGAAUAUUGGACAAUGGGCGAAAGCCUGAUCCAGCAAUGCCGCGUGAGUGAUGAAGGCCUUAGGGUUGUAAAGCUCUUUUACCCGGGAUGAUAAUGACAGUACCGGGAGAAUAAGCUCCGGCUAACUCCGUGCCAGCAGCCGCCGUAA